rnacentral:rRNA from 1 species
AGCAGCCGCGGUAAUUCCAGCUCCAAUAGCGUAUAUUAAAGUUGUUGCAGUUAAAAGCUCGUAGUUGAAUUUCGGGAUUGACACAUCGGUCGUGCCUUAAGGGGUAUGAACUGGUGUAGUCAAUUUCUCACCUUCUGGAGAACCGCGAUGCCCUUAAUUGGGUGUCACGGGGAACCAGGACCUUUACUUUGAAAAAUUAGAGUGUUUAAAGCAGGCAUUUUGCUUGAAUACAUUAGCAUGGAAUAAUAAAAUAGGACGGCAUGAUUCUAUUUUGUUGGUUUCUAGGAUCACCGUAAUGAUUAAUAGGGAUAGUUGGGGGCAUUAGUAUUCAAUUGUCAGAGGUGAAAUUCUUGGAUUUAUUGAAGACUAACUACUGCGAAAGCAUUUGCCAAGGAUGUUUUCAUUAAUCAAGAACGAAAGUUAGGGGAUCGAAGACGAUCAGAUACCGUCGUAGUCUUAACCAUAAACUAUGCCGACUAGGAAUCAGACGAUGUAAUUUUUUAAUGACUCGUUUGGCACC